rnacentral:rRNA from 1 species
UACGAGGGGUGCAAGCGUUGCUCGGAAUUAUUGGGCGUAAAGGGCAAGUAGGUGGUCUCAUUUGUCUGGGGUGAAAGCCUUGAGCUUAACUCAAGAAGUGCCCCGGAAACGGUGAGACUCGAGUAUUGGAGAGGGUCGUGGAAUUCCCGGUGUAGCGGUGAAAUGCGUAGAGAUGUGGAGGAACACCGAUGGCGAAGGCAGCCCCCUGGGUCAAGAUUGACGCUCAUGCACGAAAGCGUGGGGAGCAAACAGG